rnacentral:rRNA from 1 species
GUACACACCGCCYGYCGCUACUACCGAUUGAAUGKUUUAGUGAGAUCUUCGGCUUGGUUUUCCGAGCGGCUYUCGGGUCGUUCGGUUUAUAUCGAAAAGAUGCUCRAACUGGAUCAUUUAGAGGAAGUAAAAGYYRUAACAAGGUAUUCGUAGGUGAACCUGCAGAAGGAUCA